rfam:Schistosoma mansoni strain Puerto Rico chromosome 5, complete genome
AUCCAGCUGACGAGUCCUGAAUGGGACGAAAUGCGCGUCCUGGAU